GCUUCCAGAUGGGUUCCACCACGAGAAGGAAGUGUGAAGAUCAAUGUAGACGUGGGAGUUUCGGAAGGGACAAACACGGGGACGGCAGCAGCUGUAUGUCGGAACCGGGAUGGUGUUUAUUUGGGCUCAUCAAUGUUGGUAAUUCAAGGGCUAACGGAUCCAACUACACUAGAGGCAAUCACUUGCAGAGAGGGUUUGUCUUUGGCGCAGGAUCUUGGAGAGAAUCGUCUACAGAUCGCUUCGGAUUGUAAGCAGGUAGUAAACCAUAUCCAUCAAAGAGCGGGAGGCGAUCAUGGCACUAUUAUUAGAGAGAUCUUACAAACUUCUACUUUAUUCACGUCUUUUGAACCUCGAGAGUCGAAUUAUGAGGCUCAUAGAUUAGCCAGGUUUGGUGUCUCGCUCCCUGCUGGGAGGCAUAUUUGGUUGGGCAUCCAGCAUGACCCAAUUGUAAUACCUAUGCACAUUUCAGUUGAUCAAUAA
rnacentral:rRNA from 1 species